rnacentral:rRNA from 1 species
UCUGCCUUGAAGAUCGGAGUGCUUGCACUCUGUGAAACAAGAUACAGGCUAGCGGCGGACGGGUGAGUAACACGUGGGUAACCUGCCCAAGAGAUCGGGAUAACACCUGGAAACAGAUGCUAAUACCGGAUAACAACAGAUGAUGCCUAUCAACUGUUUAAAAGAUGGUUCUGCUAUCACCCUUGGAUGGACCUGCGGUGCAUUAGCUAGUUGGUAGGGUAACGGCCUACCAAGGCGAUGAUGCAUAGCCGAGUUGAGAGACUGAUCGGCCACAUUGGGACUGAGACACGGCCCAAACUCCUACGGGAGGCAGCAGUAGGGAAUCUUCCACAAUGGACGCAAGUCUGAUGGAGCAACGCCGCGUGAGUGAAGAAGGGUUUCGGCUCGUAAAGCUCUGUUGUUGGUGAAGAAGGAC